rnacentral:rRNA from 1 species
UACGUAGGUGGCAAGCGUUGUCCGGAUUUAUUGGGUUUAAAGGGUGCGUAGGCGGUCUUAUAAGUCAGUGCUGAAAUAUCCCGGCUUAACCGGGAGGGUGGCAUUGAUACUGUAGGACUUGAGUAAAGUUGAGGUUGGCGGAAUUGACGGUGUAGCGGCGAAAUGCUUAGAUAUCGUCAAGAACACCGAUAGUGAAGACAGCUAACUAAGCUUUAACUGACGCUGAGGCACGAAAGUGUGGGGAUCAAACAGG